AUAAAAUGGCUGAGUAAUUAAGCGAUAAAUUGUAAAUUUAUUUACGAGAUUAUAUCUCUUUUAU
rnacentral:tRNA from 1 species